GUUCCAGCUGCCCAUCUUCCUGGAUAGUCACUUCAUCUACUCAUUCAGCCCAGUGCCAGGCAUCAACAAACUGUUCAUUCGCCUGGCAGAGUCACCUACAGCCAAGGUGAAGCUUCUC